rnacentral:rRNA from 1 species
UGCCAGCCGCCGCGGUAAUACGGAGGGGGUUAGCGUUGUUCGGAAUUACUGGGCGUAAAGCGCGCGUAGGCGGAUUGGAAAGUUGGGGGUGAAAUCCCGGGGCUCAACCCCGGAACUGCCUCCAAAACUGCCAGUCUAGAGUUCGAGAGAGGUGAGUGGAACUCCAAGUGUAGCAGUGAAAUGCGUAGAGAUUUGGAGGAAUACCAAUGGCGAAGGCAGCCCCCUGGGAUAACACUGACGCUCAUGCACGAAAGCGUGGGGAGCAAACAGGAUUAGAUA